AUACUACCUAUUGAUUUCGUGGCUGACACGCUAUUGUGUACCGCAUGGCAUGUCGCUCUAGAUCCUAAUAAUAAAGUUAAAGUCUACAACUGUACGAAUGACGCACACCCACUCAAAUAGGGUCAAAUGGUAAACAUCGUAGUUCAAUGUAUCAGAGAAACGCCGAUGAACAAUGAACUAUUGUAUUCAUGCUGUUUCGUGGUAGUUAAGAGAUAUGUUUACAAUGUUCUAAAUAUAUUUCUACAGUCUUGCCAGCGUUCGUUGUAGAUGUUUCUAAAACAUUCAGGUAGAAAACCAAU